rnacentral:rRNA from 1 species
CGCAUCUGUGCAUGCAGCAUAUCAAUAAGCGGAGGAAAAGAAACUAACAAGGAUUCCCCUAGUAACGGCGAGUGAAGCGGGAAGAGCUCAAAUUUGAAAUCUUCAAGGUUUUACCUUGACGAAUUGUAGUUUAAAGAAGUGUUUUCUGCUGAAGUUUUGGUAAAAGUUCUUUGGAAUAGGACAUCAUAGAGGGUGAGAAUCCCGUAUUUGACCAUUACUUUUCAACUUUGUGAUACACUUUCAAAGAGUCGGAUUGUUUGGGAAUGCAGUCCAAAAUGGGUGGUAAAUUUCAUCUAAAGCUAAAUAUUGGCGAGAGACCGAUAGCGAACAAGUACCGUGAGGGAAAGAUGAAAAGAACUUUGAAAAGAGAGUUAAACAGUACGUGAAAUUGUCAAAAGGGAAGCGUUUGACACCAGUGUUGUUUUUCUGAAAAUCAAUUAAAGAACUGUUUAUGCUAAGCUGUUUAGACUUUAUCAGCUAAUCUGUUUAGUUUUGAGCUUUUCUUUAAUGCACUUUUCAGUUAACAAGUCAACAUCAAUUUCUUUUGCUGUAAAAAAGCUUGAGGAAGGUGGCUUGAGAUUCGUCUUAAGUGUUUAUAGCCUCUUGCCUAUGCAGUCGGAGAGAUUGAGGUCUGCAGCGUAGAUCCUUCGGGGCUAAAUGCAUUUGUGCUAAGUUAUAGCAUUUUAUAGACAACUUGUUGACUAUGAUUUGUCUUGUAGCUUACUCGCUUAUGUUAUUUUACCUACGCUUAGGAUGUUGAUAGUCACAGCGUGUAC